AUGUUAAUUAAAUUGUAUAACCACGAGGGAAAAACUUUUCUCCUAUUUCACAUAACGCCCCCUCCUUCCUUCCACGGUACGAUUCAUAAUUUUCUUCUACACAAUGUCUUUUUCUUCCAUAUUAAGAUUCACAAACCCUAAUUCUCAACUAAACUCUUGAGCCGCUUCUCUCUGUUUUGAUAUCUAACAUGUCUGCUCUGUUUCAUCCACAUUUUCUAUGUCCUUAUCCUUUUUCAGUUUAGGGUUUCUAUUUACCCCCUUCAUAUUAUUUAAUUGAAGAACAAUUAUUGGGUCUCUAUUGUUCUAAUUCGCUUCUUCUAAUCGAGAUCUAUUUAUCAGAAGUUGCACAAUACUAAUGGGAUUCUAAUCCUCUUUGAUCGAUUUGUGUAUUAAACGAUCAGUAAGAUAGGAUGACUCCUCAAUUGGGUUUUUAUGCUCUCGGUAUUCUUGAUAAAGAGACGCAGAGGUUGAAGACCAUUAAGAUUGAAGGCAAUAUGAUAUCAUCUUUUAUCCCCAUUUCCAUAUUUUAUACAGAAUGCUAAAUGUGAUUUUGAAACGUGUUCAUGUGAUAUGAUUGAAGAUUAAUAUGCUAAUAAUUGAUUGAUUGAUUGAGUUUUUGAUUCUUCUAAUGUUCUGAUUGUUAAUUAUUGCCUGGUCAAUUACUUAUGCUGAUUUCAAUUAUGGCUUCUCCGCUUGGUUGUUUUUAGUUAUUGCCUUGGUUAGCGCUGCCUUGCUGAGUUAACUAGGUUGUUUAAUUGUGUGUUUUUUCAUGGGCCAUAUUUGCACUAAGGUCAGUUCAAUACAUAACCUAGGUACCAAAAUCAGUUUGUUCAUUUGAAAUCCAAUUUCUUUGAGUCUUGAUCUGCAAAUGGGGUGAUUUGUUUUGGUGUCCAGCACAGCCGCAAGCUUGAUCCAGGGCUCGAUAGAUGAUUCUUUUUUCUUCAUUCGAUCAAAAAUAGGAGAUUUUCGAUCUUCCUCCAGGCAAAAAACCAUUAGAUUGGAUCUCAAGGAUGAAAGUUGCAGCAAGAGACGCACAUGCUGUGGAGCAUUUACAUAAAAAGGUAGUGGAGCAUUAAAUACUGGUGUAAUUGAGAGAAAAGGUUGAUCUGGAGGUCGCAAGCUUGAAGGAUUCUUCAACAACGGUGGUAAAGAAAGAAAACAAUGUAGCAACUUCCCAACGACAAUUUCCACCUUAACUGAUACUACACUGGCAGUGACUCCCGCUAUCAGCAGUGAAGACGCCACAUCAGAAGAUGAAAGCCAGUCGCAAACAAGCAAUGGCAGUUUAUGGUGAUGGAAACAAGCACGAAGUUUUCAAUACGUCUUUAACUUGGAGAGUUUACCAUGUUAGAACUUGCUCAGGUAUUUUAUUUAGGUCACAUGUGUUGUUUGGUGUCUUAUCGAUGGCUGAGGUCUUUUGGAGAGAAAUGGGAUUCGGGUCAUUCCUCCGAUAAACUUCUUGGCAGGCGUCGACCUCAAAUACAGUCAAAAUGAUGGUAUUGUAGUUCGCGACAAAGGGCGGUGGCGGCUCUAGGGUUCCGGCUGUUGAACCCGGCAACUACCACAAGCCACGUUUCAUUUCAUCCCACUUAAUAUUUUCUCCUCUGACUUUGCCGCUUUUCUUCUCCACCACCUAGACGAAUGAUUCAUCAACAAAGGUUGUAUUGAGCUAUGGAACAUAUACUUGGAGCUUCUAGAACACUAAGUUAUCUGAUAUAGCUGGGAAUGGAUAAAUCCAUCUUUAGUAAUCCAAAGACAUUUCACUUAACUGUGCUUAUGCUAAAGUGGUGGAACAAGGAGAGUCGACGCCGCUAUUAAGAUAUUCCAGCUCACUUUCAUCGUUGCAAAGCAACACAAAUGUUUAAAAACAAAGCUUAGUGCCGAAGAUGAAGAAACAAAAGUGUCGUAUGAGGGAGCAAAUACAUAUAUUAAGUAUAAAAUAAGGGGAAUUCGAUUGAAGAAGACGUAUUGUGGUUACAAAAUGAAAAGACAAAUUCAGAUCAUGUUGACUAGAAUUAACAUUAUUCUCCAUCAUCUAGGAAAAAGGGUGCUCAUCGCUUCAUAUAGGAACCCUAAAACAACUGAUUACAACCCAAUGGUCGAGGAAGUUAGUUUUAGUUGUCACUUGGAACUCCAUUUCACUAUAGUUACGCAUAACAGAUAUGGGGCACUUUCUGAGUUAAUCGUGACUUUUGCAAUGUAACAAUUGCAUAAAGGGCCGUAGGUACUCAUUAUUAGUUUUUAUUAUACACUUUAAAUCGUUUAUAUACCUACAUCAGCCCGGUGGCAAUGGGUAGUUCAAUCAUCAGAACUUCCAAGAACCUUCACACCCUUAAAAAACCUAAAUGCAUCAGAUGUGGCUACGACACCAUUCCAGGAGGUUGAAGAAACGGGCCUCGAUUGUCACUGUCUCAGUUGCAGAAAAUAACCGUUAUAUGGUUGAACCCGAGCCCAUAUAACAAAGUGCUAGAAGGAGCGUGCAUUGCUCACAAAGAUCGUUCAGAAAUAAAACAAGUCCGAGUAAUCGUGAUAUAUAAGAAAGAAGAUGCAAGACAUGUGGAUAAG
rnacentral:lncRNA from 1 species